UACGUAGGGGGCAAGCGUUGUCCGGAUUUAUUGGGCGUAAAGAGCGUGUAGGCGGCCAGGGUAGGGUCUGCUGUGAAAACUCGAGGCUUAACCUCGAGCUGUCGGCGGAAACCAUCUGGCUAGAGUCCGGAAGAGGAGAAUGGAAUUCCCGGUGUAGCGGUGAAAUGCGCAGAUAUCGGGAAGAACACCCGUGGCGAAGGCG
rnacentral:rRNA from 1 species